UGGUGGAGUGAUUUGUCUGGUUAAUUCCGAUAACGAACGAGACUCUGUCCUGCUAACUAGGUUGUGUUUUCUCGGGUUGGUGUUUCUGGUGUUCCUUCUCAGGGCGCCGGCCCAAUCCACUUGUGAACACAACACUCUUCUUAGAGGGACUGGCGGCUGUUAGCCGCACGAGAUAGAGCAAUAACA
rnacentral:rRNA from 1 species